CUGGGAAGAAUUGAAGGCAGGAGGAGAAGGGGAUGACAGAGGAUGAGAUGGUUGGAUGGCAUCACCGACUCAAUGGACAUGAGUUUGAGCAAACUCCAGGAGAUUGUGAAGGACAGGGAAGCCUGGCGGGCUGCAGUCCACAGGGUUGCAGAGUCGGACACGACUGAGCGACUGAAUGACAACAGCAGCAACAUUUAACUUCCAGUUGCCCGAUGUCACGAGCACCAUUUCAAGUGCCUAAAGUCUCCACGUGAUCCAUGGCAAACCAUGUUGGAUGGCACAGAUGUAGAACCACCCCUUUGUUGCAGAAAGUCCUACCGGGCCAGACUGACCUAGAGGACAUGAUCUCUGUUCCUAGCUUGGCUUGGGAAAGCAUUUAGACCCCCCCCCCCUCACAAAAAAAAGAAAAAGAAAUAAAGAAAACCCAGCUCUUCUUUACAAACAGGCCGUCCCUCGCAAUGUGGGAAUGUCAGGGCCUCUCGGUGAAGUGAGCAAGAGAGAAGAGAAACAAGAUGCAGCUGAGGUGGGGACGCUGUGUUUUCUCCGAUAUUACUAAGCAACCGUGUCCUAAAAUCUCCGGAGCCAGCGACAGAACUUUGUUUACCAGGAAGAAAGCACUUGAAAAGGAGAAUAUUUGGCGGAAAUGCGCUUUGGGAUUAGCAGAGAGCUGGGAGUGGGGAGGAACGCUGACUGCACCUCGUGAGGACUGUGUGCAUACAGCCACAAGGAGGGGAGAGGAAUGGAAUCUCAAACUCGUUUCCAGCUCCGUCAAGUCCCCAGUCCAUUUCCUGCCAUCGCUAGGACUUCUCACUUUCUUUACGCCCCACCCUAACCUCUGCUUGUCGUUCAGUUGCUUAGUCAGCCCCAUGGACUGCGGCACAACAGGCUUCCCCAUCCUUCACUAUCUCCCGGAGUUUGGUCAGACUCAAGUCCGUUGGGUCGGUGAUGCCAUUCAACCAUCUCAUGCUCUGUCGGCCCCUUCUCCUCCUGCCCUCUGCAUGAAGGGCUAAAGUGAAUGGUGCAGAAAGUCCAGCAUGGGAGGGGACCAAGUGAUGCAGAAGAGGGGUCGCCCGUCCGCAGUGGAUAAACAGGCCCCUGAAUUGUGACCCCUAGCUGAAUGCUUCUGAAUAAAAGUUUCAGGACCACUUGAUCGGCUAAUGUG
rnacentral:lncRNA from 1 species